CCUACGGGUGGCUGCAGUGGGGAAUAUUGGACAAUGGGGGGAACCCUGAUCCAGCCAUGCCGCGAGUGUGAAGAAGGCCCUCGGGUUGUAAAGCACUUUCAGUGAGGAAGAACGCCUGGUGGUUAAUACCCAUCAGGAAAGACAUCACUCACAGAAGAAGCACCGGCUAACUCCGUGCCAGCAGCCGCGGUAAUACGGAGGGUGCGAGCGUUAAUCGGAAUUACUGGGCGUAAAGCGCGCGUAGGUGGCUUGAUAAGCCGGUUGUGAAAGCCCCGGGCUCAACCUGGGAACGGCAUCCGGAACUGUCAAGCUAGAGUGCAGGAGAGGAAGGUAGAAUUCCCGGUGUAGCGGUGAAAUGCGUAGAGAUCGGGAGGAAUACCAGUGGCGAAGGCGGCCUUCUGGACUGUCACUGACACUGAGGUGCGAAAGCGUGGGUAGCAAACAGGAUUAGAUACCCGAGUAGUC
rnacentral:rRNA from 1 species